UCUUAGAUGACUGAGAAUUAUAAGUGUUAGACUUUUAAUCUAAAAACGGCAAAGUUUCAAAUAUGCCUCUAAGAA
rnacentral:tRNA from 1 species